rnacentral:rRNA from 1 species
AGACAGCCAGGAUGUUGGCUUAGAAGCAGCCAUCAUUUAAAGAAAGCGUAAUAGCUCACUGGUCGAGUCGGCCUGCGCGGAAGAUGUAACGGGGCUAAACCAUGCACCGAAGCUGCGGCAGCGACACUAUGUGUUGUUGGGUAGGGGAGCGUUCUGUAAGCCUGUGAAGGUGUACUGUGAGGUAUGCUGGAGGUAUCAGAAGUGCGAAUGCUGACAUAAGUAACGAUAAAGCGGGUGAAAAGCCCGCUCGCCGGAAGACCAAGGGUUCCUGUCCAACGUUAAUCGGGGCAGGGUGAGUCGACCCCUAAGGCGAGGCCGAAAGGCGUAGUCGAUGGGAAACAGGUUAAUAUUCCUGUACUUGGUGUUACUGCGAAGGGGGGACGGAGAAGGCUAUG